rnacentral:sRNA from 1 species
GUUCUUGGUGGUCUGAACAAUGGAGCAUCCUCGAAGAAUGUAGGUGGGAGAAGGCAGCCAACUGGUGGAGGAGGACUUGAUGAAAAUAUUCCUGUAAUUGAAAUUCGAGGAGAAGGAGCUCCGAUGAGCUCAGCUCAAAUUAGACAUUUAGAGGAGAUGGAUAAUGGUGGUCCAUUGGAUAUUAAGGUGAGUUUUAUGUGUAUAAUUACGCUUACUUGGAGUUUCCUACUUAUUGUAACUAGGUACUACCCGGGACACAACUUACCCCUUUUUCCAAAAACAUCUGUGUUUCCAUCACAUAACUAAAUUAAAAAAAAAUAAAUGUAAGGUUUUGAUACCUGCAAAUUUGAUUUUAAUGAUUCAAAAUAACUGCAUUUCCAGUGCGACUCAACUUCUUUCAAAAACAACAGUCAAGUUUUCAGAUCGAAAAAACGUUUGUGCCAGCCAAGUGCCCUCAACAAGCAAAACGACUGGACUUUGUAACUUUCCAUUACAAGGUAACAAAUGCACACUUCUGAAAACAUUUUUGAUUUCAAUUUCCAGGUGUUCACAGAAGAUAACAAAAAAGUAUAUCAAACAUAUGGAACUGGUCCAGUCACAAUUCAACUUGGAACUGGAAUGAUUAUGCCAGGACUUGAUAAG